rnacentral:rRNA from 1 species
AUUGAACGCUGGCGGCAGGCUUAACACAUGCAAGUCGAGCGAGCGGCAGCCGGGUGAGUAAUGUCUGGGAAACCGUCUGAUGGAGGGGGAUAACUACUGGAAACGGUAGCUAAUACCGCAUACCAUCAGAUGUGCCCAGAUGGGAUUAGCUAGUAGGUGGGGUACUGGCUCACCUAGGCGCCGAUCCCUAGCUGGUCUGAGAGGAUGCCCAGCCAAACUGGAACUGAGACACGGUCCAGACGCCUGCGAGAGGCAGCAGUGGGGGGUAUUGCACAAUUGGCGCAAGCCUGAUGGAGCCAUGCGGCGUGUGUGAAGAAGUCCUUGGGGGUGUAAAGCACUUUCAGCGAGGAGGCGCUACUCGCAGAAGAAGCACCGGCUAACUCCGUGCCAGCAGCCGCGGUAAUAC